GAGGAAUAAGCAUCGGCUAACUCCGUGCCAGCAGCCGCGGUAAUACGGGGGAUGCAAGCGUUAUCCGGAAUCAUUGGGCGUAAAGCGCCUGUAGGUUGUUUAAUAAGUCUGUUGUUAAAGACUAGGGCUCAACCCUAGAAAAGCAAUGGAAACUGUUAGACUAGAGUAUGGCAGGGGUAGAGGGAAUUUCUAGUGUAGCGGUGAAAUGCGUAGAUAUUAGAAAGAACACCAGUGGCGAAAGCGCUCUACUGGACCAUUACUGACACUCAGAGGCGAAAGCUAGGGUAGCAAAAGGGAUUAGAUACCCCUGUAGUCCUAGCCGUAAACGAUGGAUACUAGAUGUUGUAUUUAUUUUACAGUAUCGUAGCUAACGCGUUAAGUAUCCCGCCUGGGGAGUACGCUCGCAAGGGUGAAACUCAAAGGAAUUGACGGGGGCCCGCACAAGCGGUGGAGCAUGUGGUUUAAUUCGAUGCAACGCGAAGAACCUUACCAGGGCUUGACAUACUGCGAAUCUCCUUGAAAGAGGAGAGUGCCUUCGGGAAUGCAGAUACAGGUGGUGCAUGGCUGUCGUCAGCUCGUGUCGUGAGAUGUUGGGUUAAGUCCCGCAACGAGCGCAACCCUUGUUUUUAGUUACCAAUUCGUUGGGCUUUCUAGAAAGACUGCCGGUGACAAACCGGAGGAAGGUGAGGAUGACGUCAAGUCAGCAUGCCCCUUAUGUCCUGGGCUACACACGUGCUACAAUGGUUAGGACAAAGAGUCGCAAGUUUGCGAAAACAAGCUAAUCUCAUAAACCUAGCCUAAGUUCAGAUUGUAGGCUGCAACUCGCCUACAUGAAG
rnacentral:rRNA from 1 species